UAGUUUGAUCCUGGCUCAGAGUGAACGCUGGCGGUAGGCCUAACACAUGCAAGUCGAACGGCAGCACAGUAAGAGCUUGCUCUUACGGGUGGCGAGUGGCGGACGGGUGAGGAAUGCAUCGGAAUCUACUCUGUCGUGGGGGAUAACGUAGGGAAACUUACGCUAAUACCGCAUACGACCUACGGGUGAAAGCAGGGGAUCUUCGGACCUUGCGCGAUUGAAUGAGCCGAUGCCCGAUUAGCUAGUUGGCGGGGUAAGAGCCCACCAAGGCGACGAUCGGUAGCUGGUCUGAGAGGAUGAUCAGCCACACUGGAACUGAGACACGGUCCAGACUCCUACGGGAGGCAGCAGUGGGGAAUAUUGGACAAUGGGCGCAAGCCUGAUCCAGCCAUACCGCGUGGGUGAAGAAGGCCUUCGGGUUGUAAAGCCCUUUUGUUGGGAAAGAAAAGCAGCCGGUUAAUACCCGGUUGUUCUGACGGUACCCAAAGAAUAAGCACCGGCUAACUUCGUGCCAGCAGCCGCGGUAAUACGAAGGGUGCAAGCGUUACUCGGAAUUACUGGGCGUAAAGCGUGCGUAGGUGGUUGUUUAAGUCUGUCGUGAAAGCCCUGGGCUCAACCUGGGAAUGGCGAUGGAAACUGGGCGACUAGAGUGUGGCAGAGGGUAGUGGAAUUCCUGGUGUAGCAGUGAAAUGCGUAGAGAUCAGGAGGAACAUCCGUGGCGAAGGCGACUGCCUGGGCCCUAAUCAACUUUGACCCCU
rnacentral:rRNA from 1 species